rnacentral:rRNA from 1 species
UACGGAGGGGGCAAGCGUUGUUCGGAAUUACUGGGCGUAAAGGGCUCGUAGGCGGCCAGCUAAGUCAGACGUGAAAUCCCCAGGCUCAACCUGGGAACUGCGUCUGAUACUGGAUGGCUUGAAUCCGGGAGAGGGAUGCAGAAUUCCAGGUGUAGCGGUGAAAUGCGUAGAUAUCUGGAGGAAUACCGGUGGCGAAGGCGGCAUCCUGGACCGGCAUUGACGCUGAGGAGCGAAAGCCAGGGGAGCAAACGGG